CGUGUAGGCGGUUGGUUAAGUCGGAUGUGAAAGCCUGGGGCUCAGCCCCAGAAGUGCAUCCGAAACUAUCCGGCUAGAGCGCGAUAGAGGAGGGUGGAAUUCCUGGUGUAGCGGUGAAAUGCGUAGAUAUCAGGAGGAACACCGGCGGCGAAGGCGGCCCUCUGGAUCGUUGCUGACGCUGAGACGCGAAAGCGUGGGGAGCAAACAGGAUUAGAUACCCUGGUAGUCCACGCCUUAAACGAUGGGUACUAGGUGUUCGGGGUGUUGACCCCCUGAGUGCCGCAGUUAACGCAUUAAGUACCCCCGCCUGGGGACUACGGCCGCAAGGUUAAA
rnacentral:rRNA from 1 species